AUGCAGUUGUUCAACGACUGGAUCGCGGAGCUUGGCCUCCGUGAAAUCGAGAGAACGGGGGCGAGAUUUACCUGGACUAACCGCCAGGAUGACCUGACACGAUCCGUUCUGGAUCGUGUCCUAGUUUCCCCGGAAUGGGAACUGAGGUGCCCCUUGACCUCGCUGCGGGCGAUCACCCGCAUUGGGUCGGACCACGUCCCUCUUCUCCUCUCCUCCGUGGACGAGCGCCCCGCCUGCCCGCCGCGGUUUCGGUUUGAGUCCUAUUGGCUCAACCAAGCCGGCUUUCGAGAAGCAGUCUCGGCUCGGUGGGAGCUCGCCCGCGCCUCCCCUCAUCGCUCCAUGUCCGCCGUCGACUCGUGGCACUUCUGCGCCAAGCUUGCCCGCCAAUUCAUGAAGGGUUGGGGGGCCAAUCUUGGCUGGGACCUCUGCGAGCGUAAAAAGUCUCUCCUGCUGGCUAUUCAAGCCCUGGAUGCCCGGGCCAACUCCUCUGGGCUCUCUCCGGAUGAGUGGAUGCUGAGAUAUGAUCUUGAGGAUCAGCUUUCCACCAUCUACACCGACGAGGAGGCCUAUUGGCGGGCGCGCGGUACCCAGCGGUGGGUGCUCCGCGGGGAUGCGAACACUGCUUAUUUCCAGGCGAUUGCGAAUGGCCGCCGCCGUAGAAACUCCAUCCACUGCUUAUGGGAGGAUGACGUCCCCCUCGUCCGUCCCGCGGCCAUUCGGGCCCAUGUCGACGGCUUUUUCAAAGCCCUCUUUACCCCCACCCCUCGGGGUGGGGCUAGUCUCGCCCCCGAUACUUGGAGGGGGGCCCAGUUGGUGUCCGACGAGGCUAACGCGACCCUAGGGGCCCCCUUCACCGAGGAUGAGGUGCUCGCAGCCAUUAAAGGCAUGAACCCCGCCUCGGCCCCGGGCCCCGAUGGCCUGUCUGUUGCUUUCUUCAAAACAUUCUGGCAGGCGAUCAAACCGGAGGUCAUGGCUCUGUUCGAGGAGUUCUAUUCGGGGGCUAUGGACCUGGGACGCCUGAACUAUGGGAUCAUUACCCUCAUCCCCAAGGUUCCGGGCGCCUCUGAUAUUCGCCAGUUCCGCCCCAUCACUGUGAUUAAUGUGAUAUUUCGGAUCUUGGCUAAAGGGUACGCCAAUAGGGUGACCCUGCUGGCUGACUCGAUCACUCAC
rnacentral:rRNA from 1 species